CUGCGGAAGGAUCAUUU
rnacentral:rRNA from 2 species